UGAUGAUGAAGCCAUGAGUUCCAGCUGUCACAUGCAAGACAAGACAACCUAGUUAAAACUUACAGAACAAACUUGCAUUUGUCAAAAUGUUUAUGUGAGUGUGGAGUUGCUAUCAGACAGGCUACAGCUAACAGAACACAGGACAAGAGUUUCAGAAAUGUUUCUACAUUCUCAUAAAUAAGUUCCUUUGCUCGAAAACACAAUGACAGAAGGAAACAAGGGAUUUUAGAAAGAAAAGGCGCCACCUUGGAAGAAAGAAAGGAAGAGAGCUUCACUGUCACUGUGCUUUGACGAAAGGACAGUGUACUCCUGUUUGUAACAUUUGCUGGGAAGCCAAAUUGAUGCUGAGGCUUAUUUAUAGGUUCAUUUAAAAGAGAUCCUAGGAUUUGCACAUACAGGACCAAAUGAAUCGGCUCAAAGUAGUAGUAACUAGUGAGGCCCCUGCACAUUGGGAAAUGGUUCUUCAAGGAAUUCGCCAAAUGAGGAGUUCUGCAGAUGAACACCAACCGGUUGCACGUGAGAAAGCCGCUGAUACUGUACCUUCUAAGGAAAGAAGAUUUGUUGUCCUGGCAUCUUCCCUUUUAUCAAGCCAAACUAAGGAACAGGUUACUCGUGGUAAGUACACAUUGCAUGAUAUAGAAGGUUGAACUAUGAAAAUCAAUACAUUGCAAAUCAACUGCUAAUUUAAGAGAUGCACCGCCAUUGUACUUCAGCCCCCUAAUUAUGUUUAUCACCUGUCUUCUUUAUGUGAUUAAUGCCUGUUGCUAAGUGUUAUCAUAUUCAACUUGUUUAUGAAACUGUUUUAAUUACAAGUGUGUAUUUUUAAGAGUAGGAGCAACUCAGUCUUCGUGAAAAUGGUCUGCUUAGCGCUGAUGCAAUGAACAAAGCUGAUGAAGAAACCAUCAAAAAGUUGAUUUGCCCUGUAUGUUCUUUGCCAAAGAAUCUAUCUAUGGUAUCUGCUGAAAACCAUUUACUCGUGCGAUUCAAAUAAUCUGGAUUUGGCGAAGGAAGCUACCUUUGAAGCAUCCAAUAUUUUCAUAGUUUUCAUGUUAGCAUGUCAAUUACUUUUGUUCUUAUGUUCAUUUUGUACUGUAUAAAUUAAAUUCCCAUGCGUGUACUUUAUGGUAUUCUUUUCCAAGGUUGGAUUUUA